UGCGUCCUACGGGGCGCAGCAGUGAGGAAUAUUGGUCAAUGGGCGCGAGCCUGAACCAGCCAAGUCGCGUGAGGGAGGACGGCCCUACGGGUUGUAAACCUCUUUUGCCGGGGAGCAACGGGCGUCACGUGUGGCGCCACUGAGAGUACCCGGAGAAAAAGCAUCGGCUAACUCCGUGCCAGCAGCCGCGGUAAUACGUAGGGGGCAAGCGUUAUCCGGAUUUACUGGGUGUAAAGGGGGCGCAGACGGCGAUGCAAGCCAGGAGUGAAAGCCCGGGGCCCAACCCCGGGA
rnacentral:rRNA from 1 species